rnacentral:rRNA from 1 species
UACGUAGGUGGCGAGCGUUAUCCGGAAUUAUUGUGCGUAAAGAGCGCGCAGGUGGUUGAUUAAGUCUGAUGUGAAAGCCCACGGCUUAACCGUGGAGGGUCAUUGGAAACUGGUCGACUUGAGUGCAGAAGAGGGAAGUGGAAUUCCAUGUGUAGCGGUGAAAUGCGUAGAGAUAUGGAGGAACACCAGUGGCGAAGGCGGCUUCCUGGUCUGUAACUGACACUGAGGCGCGAAAGCGUGGGGAGCAAACAGGAUUAGA